AUCAUCAGCUGAAGGCGGGAAGAUGCAGUGAACGUGAAUAUAUCUCCGCGUUAUCGCGUACAUGAAGAUAUACUUACCGUUGCUGCCCAAGUCUGUCACUGGGCGACAUCGGCUACUCGCCAGCUCCUUCAACGGUGGCCUUUGGAUCACGUGCUAAGCUUGACAGACACCGAUAUGGGUGUUCCUGCCGGCGGCGGUGAGAGGUAUCUUGACGGGCGACUCUCCGAUGACAAUGUUCUUGAUGCAGCCGGUGAAGCCGCGACGAGAGCGAACUCCGCGCACCCGGUGUAACGGCUUCUCGUGCCCGCCGAUGUACAGAGACGACCGAGUGUCGGUGGAAGCGUACGCGCCCAGACCCGGCUUAGAGAAGUGCCCGUCGACGCCCACCGAUACUACGUACAGAGACUUCACCACUGCAAACAGAUAAAUGCUUAUUAUUACAAAGAAAAUCAAAGAAAUAAAUGUACCAAAUGAG
rnacentral:misc_RNA from 1 species